rnacentral:rRNA from 1 species
UUUGUGGAGAGUUUGAUCCUGGCUCAGGACGCACGCUGGCGGCGUGCUUAACACAUGCAAGUCGAACGGAAAGGCCCCGCUUGCGGGGUACUCGAGUGGCGAACGGGUGAGUAACACGUGGGUGAUCUGCCCUGCACUUCGGGAUAAGCCUGGGAAACUGGGUCUAAUACCGGAUAGGACCAUCGUUUAGUGUCGGUGGUGGAAAGUUUUUCGGUGCAGGAUGAGCCCGCGGCCUAUCAGCUUGUUGGUGGGGUAAUGGCCUACCAAGGCGUCGACGGGUAGCCGGCCUGAGAGGGUGGACGGCCACAUUGGGACUGAGAUACGGCCCAGACUCCUA